UAACGGGGUCGACUCGAAAUCGACUUGUCCUGUGAAGAGCAGGGCACGUGGGUUCGAAUCCCACCCUCUCCGCCA
rnacentral:tRNA from 1 species